UCUCUGGUAGAAAGUACGUCAU
rnacentral:miRNA from 1 species